rnacentral:misc_RNA from 1 species
GUAGGUGAACCUGCGGAAGGAUCAUUAUCGAAGAACACCCUUCUUCUUAUACCCCUGUGAACCGUCGUCUUAGGACGCUUAUACAUACUCGUGUCAGUGAAUGUCUAUUGUUUUCGUAACAAAUAUAACUUUCAGCAACGGAUCUCUUGGCUCUC